AUCUUUAAGGUCAAAAAAGCAGGGAGAUGAGAUCUCCUAAAAGCACAUUGGCAAUUUUGCAUGAUAUACAGACGUACAGAGAGGUACAUGUAUUUGGGGGCUAUCAAGGCAUGGAUCUGUUGUUCUCAGCUGUUCUGAAGACAACAGGGGAAGAUACCAUUGUGGGUGUGUGAAGGAAGCCCAGAGCUACCAAGUGAAUGUCAAGCAACGUAAAAAGUCAGCCCAGCCUCUAUCCACAGGUGCAAAGCUGCUUGCCACAGCCUUCUCUCAUGUGCGAAGGCAUAGCUCUCCUACUUCUGAGCACUUUCCAUUGACUUCCAGAAACAUGCUUGAUCCAUCACUGGAGAAUAUGACUUGCUUUUUCAAGGGGAAUUGAAUUAGAUGCAGAAAGAAGGAGUUCUGCUUCUUCCAAAGGAGUGACUCCCAAAGGAGCAAGAAUUGACCAUAGGUUAUGGCUUGGAUUAUAACACACUAAUGUUGUCUUUGAGGCCAUCCACUGACGUCCUCACCCAUGGCAUAAGCAAGUUUUUCUGAAGUGACAAGGUCUUGCUCUGUUACCCAGGCUGGAGUAAUCAAAGUUCACUGCAUAGUGAAGUAAUCAAAGCUCACUGCAGCCUCAACCUCCUGGGCUCAAGCGAUUCUCCCACAUCAGCCUCCCAGGUAG